rnacentral:pre_miRNA from 1 species
AUUAAGAUUAUUUUUCAGUUUUUAGAUACAAUGUUUUGACUCUUUGACUUAUUUGAAUUUUUUUUCGAUUAAUGUUUUUAUUUUACUAGAUAAAACAUGAAUAGUAAUUUAUGUGUGACUAAUUUAUUUAAAAUUUUGUACAAUUUUUUUAAAUAAGACGAAUGGUCAAAUGUUUGAACACAGAAAUCAAAAAAUAAAGUUAUU